GGGGGGCUGGCGCAACGGUAGCGUGUCAGAUUCCAGUCUCAUAUUGGAGCAUCCUGAAGGUUAUCGGUUCAAAUCCGGUGUCCCUCA
rnacentral:tRNA from 2 species